UUAUUAAAAACAUGGCCUAUUGAUAAUAAUUUUAGGUCUGGCCUGCCCAAUGAUGUAAAAUUAAAUGGCCGCGGUACAUUGACCGUGCAAAGGUAGCAUAAUCAUUAGUUUUUUAAUUGAAAGCUUGUAUGAAAGGUUUGAUGAGAAAAUAACUGUCUCUGUUUAAAUUAAUUAGAAUUUUAUUUUUAAGUAAAAAAGCUUAAAUAUUUAUAGAAGACGAGAAGACCCUAUAGAGUUUUAUAGUUAUUUUUAUUUAUGAAAUUUUAGUAUUUUUUAAUUUAUAAAAGUAACUAUUUGGUUGGGGUGAUUGAAAAAUUAAAUAAACUUUUUUUUUAUUAAUACACUGAUUUGUGAAUAUUUGAUCCUUUAAUAAAGAUUAUAAGAUAAAAUUACCUUAGGGAUAACAGCGUAAUUUUUUUUUAGAGUUCAAAUCAAAAAAAAAGAUUGCGACCUCGAUGUUGGAUUAAAARAAAUUAUUGGUGUAGAAGCUAAUAAAUUAGGUCUGUUCGACCUUUAAAAUUUUCCAUGAUCUGA
rnacentral:rRNA from 1 species